UGUAUUUAUAUCAAGUUUGGCGCAGCGCCGUCGCCUUCAUCCCGGAAGCAGCUGGGAAAGUGUGAGAGCAGCAGCUGAGAAAUGUUUGUCUGGAAAACCACGAUGUGACAGUUUGAGCUUCUGAUGCUGCAGCCGAGUGUCGUCUUUAACAAUCUUCUUUGACAGAGGCUGUCUGAUCCGUCUGCCUCGCCAUGCCCCUGGUGUUGGACGCCGUGUGGGCUCUGUGGAGCAUCGGAGCUGGCAUCUAUGACUACUUCCACACCAGUGCCAUGGAGGAGAGGAUCCACACGCUGGAAAACGUCCUCUCCAUCCACCAGUUUGUGAUUGCAGGCCUGUCGGCAGGCCUCAUCCUCCUCAUGACCUAUAUACUAUGGAGAAAACACUGACACCUCCAUCCACCUCGUGCUGUUUUGUUGCAGGAUGUUCACCACAGAGACUAUUUGGAUCAUGUGACUGCUCACACUUGAAGAUCGAGCAUCAGGGCGUCCCAAAUGAGGUCCAGAGCACUGAUGGGCAACGAAACUGGGCAACAACGCUCCAUAACAACUUGUCUGGUACUUUUCCGGGUGCGUCUGUUUGUGUCUGUGUUUGAUGGUCAUAGCAGCUUCUCACAGCAACUUUGCACUUUUGUUUUUUUGCCAAGCUUGAAGGAUUUGAUCACGAGAUCACAACGUAAUUAACUCGAGAUUAACUGUCACGAAUUAAUCAUGUCAUCUAAGAAGAUUUACUUAAGAAACCGACGUCAUUAUCUCAUUAAGUUAUCAUAAUCAUGACUCGAUUAUCUCUGUCUUGAGAUAAUUUAACGCUCUCUGGCCUCUUUUAUCCAAAGCUGAGAAGAACAGUCGCACUUUGGUUAAUCUGUGAAGAUUAGUGUGACUGUCAUCAGGACACAUUGAGUGUCUAAAGACAGCCAGGUUAUAGUUAACACUUGAUCUCAAGACAAAAUGCAGAUGUUUUAAUAAUUUUACGAUGAUUUUUUUGGAGGUAAAUUGGUAAAAUUGUGUGUUUUAAAUGGGACGUGACCUCACGUGAAAAGGUGUGUUUAACUCUUUAUCGUUGGUGUCGGGCUGUGAUGGUUUAAUCACUAGAGGUGAUCUUGUUACGGUAAAUAUUAAAAUCAAUGCAACGACUUUAAACCUGUUUAUUCCUUUCAGCUGCUGUGGUCUGUAAUUAUCCAGGUGACACACCUGGAAUAACGAGAUAAACGAAGAGACACUGUUACAAAGUUCAAACACUUGAUUUGUUUAUUUAUUUCACGCUGUGGAGAACGGGUUGCAGACGUUAGAUGAAGGUUUAUUUAAUGUUACUAAUGCGUUUCAUUUGUCCAAGUUUACAUUUGUACAUUACAUUUUUCAUCAGGUAUUAAUCACUGUCCUUUUUGUCCUUCAUGUGCCAGAGUACUUCAUGUAGUAUUGUUACUGUCUGUUACUCUGACAAACCACCAUGGCUUCUGUUAAAGGGAACAUGUUUGAAUAAUAAAUCACACUUUAAGUCCAA